GCAGUCGAGCGAAUCAAGGGAGCUUGCACACAGAGAUUAGCGGCGAGACGGGAGGAAUCUUCGCAACCUGCCUAUAAGACUGGGAUAACUUCGAAAAAACCGGAGCUAAUACCGGAUAAUGUUUUUUGACUCAUGUCGAGAAACUGAAAGAUGGCUUCGGCUAUCACUUAUAGAUGGGCCCGCGGCGCAUUAGCUAGUUGGUGAGGUAACGGCUCACCAAGGCGACGAUGCGUAGCCGAACUGAGAGGGUGAUCGGCCACACUGGGACUGAAACCCGGCCCAAACUCCUACGGGAGGCAACAGUAGGGAAUCUUCCGCAAUGGACCAAAGUCUGACGGAGCAACGCCGCGUGAGUGAUGAAGGUUUUCGGAUCGUAAAACUCUGUUGUUAGGGAAGAACAAGUACCGUUCUAAUAGGGCGGUACCUUGACGGUACCUAACCAAAAAGCCACGGCUAACUACGUGCCAGCAGCCGCGGUAAUACGUAGGUGGCAAGCGUUGUCCGGAAUUAUUGGGCGUAAAGCGCGCGCAGGCGGUCUUUUAAGUCUGAUGUGAAAGCCCCCGGCUCAACCGGGGAGGGUCAUUGGAAACUGGGAAACUUGAUUGCAGAAAAAAAAAACGGAAUUCCACGUGUAGCGGUGAAAUGCGUAAAGAUGUGGAGGAACACCAGUGGCGAAGGCGGCUCUUUGGUCUGUAACUGACGCUGAGGCGCGAAAGCGUGGAGGAGCAAACAGGAUUAGAUACCCUGGUAGUCCACGCCGUAAACGAUGA
rnacentral:rRNA from 1 species